UCUCAGCCAUGUUCAAUGCACAGUGGCACUCGCAGUCCCGAAUAUGUAAAGCCUGACAAACUGAGAUAAGGGGGGGAACAGGAAAUGUGGGAAGCUUUCCUAAUUGGGCAAGGCCCAAAUGGCAGUUCUAAAUAACCCUCUGGAAAAGCUCACCUGGUGAUGUCUUCAUCGCUCGGCGCUUUGGAAGUACUUAAAUUGGUAUCGCUAUGGUAUUCCCCUAGUGAGAUAUUUACUGAAACAAGCAAACAAGGGAAGGAAAAGUCAAUAUAUGUUUCAUAUCACUAUUUAAUUACCACUAUCAGAUACAAUGCGAUUGCAGUUGCUGACUGACUUUUUGGACUUGACAAUAAUCGAGCAGAACUGGCAGAAAAAACUGGUCAUAUUUAAACUAACAAAACUACACCGAUUAAUUUGAAAAGCUACAAGCAAGUGCAUUUGCUGCUAGAUUAUCUAGCACAAUAUGAAAUGAAGGCUUCCUUGCUUUUUGGAUUUUGGAAGAAUCAGUUGGCAGAGGAUCUCAUACAAGACUGCAGCAUUUUAACUUGACGUCAGUCAACUCACCAAGAUACACAUGUUAAGACUUGUCCGCAAGUUGAAGUUGAAGGUGCUUACGUGCUUCUUGGACAGGAGGCGGAGGCGGAGGCGGCAGAGAGUGGUUCGAGAACGGUUGGCUCUUCACCACAGUGAGCACAACAUGAUCACCCGUGUUCUUGAGUGUGGCCACUGCCUCUUCAUGCGUCACGUUCUCUAGGUUUGUGUCCCCUACCUGCGGAAGGAGGGAGGGUGUCUAAAAACACCUGCGGCUCACCCUUUCAAGGUCACCACAAUGGGGUUGAUUUGGGGCUUCUACGUGACUGUACCGCCUGCAAAAAUGUUUCUCACAACCGCCUCACCGCUAUGAGCUUGUCUCCAACUUCGAGGCGCCGGUCGAGAUGUGCUGCGCCACCUUCCAUAACCUUGGUGACGUAGAUGCCAUCAUCUCCCGGCACGUGCUGGUUGCCGAUUCCUCCAGCAAUGCUGAAGCCCAAGCCUUUGUUUCCCUUAAGAAGUUCCAUCUCCACCACUUGAGUGUGCAGUGGAAAGUGGCGCCGCUUCACCAACUUCACAGGACAAAAUCACGGGAGCUUUACUAUAAGGAUUCCAUCCUCCGUGACAUUUGCAGAAAAACAGCCCAGUGCUGUUUCCACUAUUUGAAACAUUUCUUGGUGUCGUAUUUGGAAAUGGUUAAGAGCGGCUUCAUCACAAUUCCUGCACAUCAUGAAAUAUCUCUCCGUUCAACUGCAUUUCGAUUAUUUUGCGAUUCUUUAUUAGCGAGCCCCCCUCUCCCCCCCUUCUGUCUGUUUUCUCUUUUCAAAAAUCGAAAUGCUACUUUAAAGGAAUAAGGUUUCGGGAUAUCCCAGAGAUUCAAACGAAUAUGAUGAGGCUGUUCUUCCGUAUUUCCAAAGGCGGCUUUAAAAAUGUUUCAAACAGUGAAACAGUUGGUGACCAGGUUUCAAUCCUGUAACUACACUUAACUUCUUUUUUAAACGUACAUAUAAUCUCGAUACUUUUCGAGCAGCUCUCAUCUACUAUCACGAAAAUGAUGGCGACGAGUUGGAUUUUGCUGGGGGCAAAAGCAUCUAUGGCUAUGAUGCGCCUAUCAUGAAAGAGACUUCCCCGGGGACCCAUAAACGGUACAGCAACGAUAGCUCACCAGGUUGACCGCAUUUCCCGCCCUCUUCAAUGCAUCAACCGCUACGGAAUGUGGUACGUCAAUCAGGUCGGCAUCGUUCACUCGAAGAAUGACGUCGUUCACCCUGUCAGAAUGGAGGUACAGGGUGAGAUUUCAGGACAGACACUGUGGGGGAGACUCACUGUAGCCUUCCAUCGGCAGCGGCUGCUCCUCCUGGAAUGAGCUUGGUGAUGAAGAUGCUGGGGUCUUCCCCAAUGUGAGGGUUGUCUGUUCCGCCAGCAAUGCUGAAGCCCAGCCCUGCCCCUCCCUGAAAUGACUCCAGGACACACCCCCAUUCAACAUCUCAGUUCCCCCUUUUCAGACAAAAAUUUGCAACAAAAAAAAAUUCAGCAUGAUGUACUUAUCACGAGUUCGGUUCUACUGACCAACUAGCCCACAUAACCACCUCUAAUGCAUUAUCUCUGCUUUCUCAAGGUUUUUCAGGCUCCAGAGUAUUUCUUGACUUUAUCAUAGAAGUUCAAAUUGAAUGGCCACAUAUGCCACAGUAGCAUUUGAGUACCAAGCCCAGAAAUAUACAUUACUAGUACUUGGGUACCAAGUACUCAAGUACUAAAGUAAAUUUCUGGGUUAAGAACAUUUCCAACUGUGUAAUUUGUCCUGUACUUUUCUUUAGUACUUUCCCACCAAGUACCAACUGGACAUGUAAAGACAAGAAACGGAAACUAUCCAGAGAGUUUCGUGUUUAGAAGCAAUGUUUUUGAACAUGAGAAUGAAUUGCUGUCCUAUUUCAUAGUGUACCAAGAGAUGCACGGAUGAAUAAAAUCGCAAAAUAAAAAUAAUUUCGACUAGCAUGGCUGGUUGCCUCUGCA